rnacentral:rRNA from 1 species
UACAGAGGAGCCAAGCGUUGUCCGGAUUGACUGGGCGUAAAGCGCACGCAGGCGGUUGCGCGCGUGGGGUGUGAAAUCUGGCCGCUUAACGGCCAGGCGCCAUCCCAUACGGCGCGACUGGAGCGAUGCAGAGGUCGGUGGAAUUCCAGGUGUAGCGGUGAAAUGCGUAGAGAUCUGGAGGAACACCGAUGGCGAAGGCAGCCUUCUGGGCCAACACUGACGCUCAUGCACGAAAGCGUGGGGAGCAAACAGG